rnacentral:misc_RNA from 1 species
UUUCUGUAGGUGAACCUGCGGAAGGAUCAUUAUUGUAUAACCGAGGUGCGAGGGCUGUCGCUGACCCGAAAGGUCGUGCACGCCCGAGUGCCCUCACACACAUCCAUCUCACCCCUAUGUGCACCACCGCGUGGGUCCCCCUUUGGCUUGUUCGGAGGGGGGCUUACGUUUUCACACAAACUUUGUAUGCAGUGUAGAAUGUAUUUUUUGUUUUUGCGAUCACGCAAUCAAUACAACUUUCAACAACGGAUCUCUUGGCUCUCGCAUCAAUGAAGAACGCAGC